rnacentral:rRNA from 1 species
UACGAAGGGGGCGAGCGUUAUUCGGAAUCACUGGGCGUAAAGCGUGCGUAGGCGGCGAUGAAAGUUAGAAGUGAAAGCCCAGGGCUUAACCUUGGAAUUGCCUUUGAAACUGUUGGGCUUGAGUACGGGAGAGGUGAGUGGAAUUCCGAGUGUAGAGGUGAAAUUCGUAGAUAUUCGGAAGAACACCAGUGGCGAAGGCGGCUCACUGGACCGUAACUGACGCUCAUGCACGAUAGCGUGGGGAGCAAACAGG